rnacentral:rRNA from 1 species
UACGUAGGGGGCUAGCGUUGUUCGGAAUCACUGGGCGUAAAGGGCGCGUAGGCGGCUUUAUAAGUCGGGGGGUGAAAGCCUGUGGCUCAACCACAGAAUUGCCUUCGAUACUGUAGAGCUUGAGACCGGAAGAGGUAAGUGGAACUGCGAGUGUAGAGGUGAAAUUCGUAGAUAUUCGCAAGAACACCAGUGGCGAAGGCGGCUUACUGGUCCGGUUCUGACGCUGAGGCGCGAAAGCGUGGGGAGCAAACAGG